rnacentral:misc_RNA from 1 species
UCCGUUGGAACCCAACGGCAGUCCCCCGUGACACAUGUAACACGGGGCAGGGGUUGCGCUCGUUGCGGGACUUAACCCAACAUCUCACGGCACGAGCUGACGUCAGCCAUGCAGCACCUGUGCUAGCCCCUUGCGGACACGUGCUUUCACACGCUUUAACUAGCAUGUCAAGCCUAGGUAAGGUUCUUCGCGUUGCAUCGAAUUAAGCCACAUGCUCCGCCGCUUGUGCGGGCCCCCGCCAAUUCCUUUGAGUUUUAAUCUUGCGAUCGUAGUUCCCAGGCGGUUCACUUAAUGCGUUAGCUGCGGCACCGAGGCAAAGCCCCAACACCUAGUGGACAUCGUUUAUGGCCAAGACUAC